rnacentral:rRNA from 1 species
AUUGAACGCUGGCGGCAUGCCUUACACAUGCAAGUCGAACGGUAACAGGUCUUCGGAUGCUGACGAGUGGCGAACGGGUGAGUAAUACAUCGGAACGUGCCUAGUAGUGGGGGAUAACUACUCGAAAGAGUGGCUAAUACCGCAUGAGAUCUACGGAUGAAAGCAGGGGAUCGCAAGACCUUGUGCUACUAGAGCGGCCGAUGGCAGAUUAGGUAGUUGGUGGGAUAAAAGCUUACCAAGCCGACGAUCUGUAGCUGGUCUGAGAGGACGAUCAGCCACACUGGGACUGAGACACGGUCCAGACUCCUACGGGAGGCAGCAGUGGGGAAUUUUGGACAAUGGGCGCAAGCCUGAUCCAGCAAUGCCGCGUGCAGGAUGAAGGCCUUCGGGUUGUAAACUGCUUUUGUACGGAGCGAAACGGUCUGCCCUAAUACGGUGGGCUAAUGACGGUACCGUAAGAAUAAGCACCGGCUAACUACGUGCCAGCCGCCGCGGUAAGAC